rnacentral:lncRNA from 1 species
CUGUGACUGUAUCUUACAUUCAUUUGUAGGAUCCUUUACUAUAGAUAAUUUAGCUGAUCUGUAACAAUAACAUCUUCAUGCCUUAUAUAUCAUGUACUGUAGUAUGCCGCUAGAUUAAAACUGACGUGAAAAGGUAACAAAUGGCCAGCGAAAGCUCUUUUUUUGAGAGCCCAGGUGGUCGUGUGGUCUAGCGGGACGGCUGCAAUGCAGGCGAUUUGGUGUCACGAUAUCACAGAAGCAUGGGUUCGAAUCCCGGCGAGG